rnacentral:rRNA from 1 species
UAGGGAAUUUUGGGCAAUGGGCGAAAGCCUGACCCAGCAACGCCGCGUGUGGGAUGAAGGCCCUCGGGUCGUAAACCACUGUCAGGAGGAAAGAAAAGUCGGCCGGAUAAUACUCGGUCGACCUGACGGUACCUCCAAAGGAAGCACCGGCUAACUCCGUGCCAGCAGCCGCGGUAAUACGGAGGGUGCAAGCGUUGUUCGGAAUUACUGGGCGUAAAGGGCUCGUAGGUGGCCAACUAAGUCAGACGUGAAAUCCCUCGGCUUAACCGGGGAACUGCGUCUGAUACUGGAUGGCUGGAGUCCGGGAGAGGGAUGCGGAAUUCCAGGUGUAGCGGUGAAAUGCGUAGAUAUCUGGAGGAACACCUGAGGCGAAGGCGGGUUGCUGGGCUGAUACUGACGCUGAGGCGCGAAAGCUAGGGUAGCAAACGGGAUUAGAUACCCGUGUAGUCCCUGAGCGGGCUGGCAAGGCGCAU